rnacentral:rRNA from 1 species
GACGAACGCUGGCGGCGUGCCUAAUACAUGCAAGUCGAACGGAAAGGCCCUGCUCUUGUUGGGUUCUCGAGUGGCGCACGCGUGAGUAACACGUGAGUAACCUGCCCUUGACUUUGGGAUAACUUCUGGAAACUGGGGCUAAUACCCGAUAGGAGCUACUGCAGCAUGUUGGGCGAUGGAAAGUUUCGGCGGUUGGGGAUGGUCUCGCGGCUUAUCCGCUUGUUGGUGGGGUAGUGGCGUACCAAGGCUUUGACGGGUAGGCGGCAUGAGAGGGGGGACGGGCACCAGGCGACUGAGGUACGGCGCAGUCGGCUACGGGACGCAGUAGUGGAGAAUAUUGCAGAAUGGGGGGAAGCCUGAUGCAGAAAUGUCGCGUGCGUAAUGACGGGUUAUGAGGUGUAAACAGCUGUGGAAUUAGCCGUAGCGGGAGUGACGGUAAUGGGUAAAGAAGCACCGGCUAACUACGUG